CUCCAGUUCCUGUAGUGAAACAUGGAAAAGAUUGCAAGUAUGGUGCUUCUGCUAGAGGUAGAGCUUCUAGUCCUGCAGUCUUUCAGGCUGGUGCUGAAGAGAGAACAAAGAAGCUCUUACCCACAAAAGCCAAGUUUUAUUAGAGCAGAAACAAGAAUGAGUAUUUCUAAAGAAGAUCACUUUUAAAUUACUUCUAAAAAGAGAACUCAAGAGGAGUGAUCAUCACAAGGGAAAGUUCACUGCAAAAAGAUUGGGAGCACUGGAAAGAAGAGAAGAG
rnacentral:lncRNA from 1 species